rnacentral:lncRNA from 1 species
GGAGGGGAGGAACCUGAUCCUCGGUAGCGAAGGGCUGGAGGCAAACACCGAGCUCCCCCUGAGCCGCCUGGGAGCAGGGAGGGUUCUGCUACCCUGAGGGGCCCUCCCCGCGGGGCAGAGGGGACCAGCCCAACAUGGCUUCCAACACAGAGACCAGAAGGACCCAAUAAGAGACCGAAGACACGACUGAUAAUACAGAAAGGAGGGUGAUGCUGUGUGCAAGGCAGAUACAAGAUGGUUUUUCCAUAAGAGGAAGUGAUCAUGGCAACCAUGACCUUCUCUGACCUUCUCUCUUCCAAGAGGCUGUUGGGAAGGUGGGAUGACCUAGGAUUGACCUUGGACUUGACAUCACAGAAGCCAUUUCAACCUUCACAGGGUUUCCUCAGCAGUGCCCCGGAGCAGGGACCGCGCCAGCCAGCAGAAACAGCUAGUUGUUGUCUGCAGUGAAGAAUAAUUGGAAGCAUGGUGCCUGUUUCUUUUCCUAGGAGUGUUCCACUGACUGACCUCUUUUUGUUUUCAAAUGAAGAGGAGCCAAGAAUAGGACAGCUUGGGAAGCUCAUCCUCGUCUACGGCCAAACGUUGGUUUCUCAUUUCUAGAAGAUGAAAGAUGUGAUGACUCAGGAAAAACUUGCUGCUCGAGAUGUGAGUCUUCAGAUGUUCCUGCCGCCAUAUCUGACAGCUGCUGCCAAGAUUCCCUGGUGGGAUGGACUCUUAUACCUCAACAACCAGAAGCCCAAGUAAACUCUUCUAUAAAUUGAAUGACUCAUGCUUAAAAAAAAAAACAAAAAACAAACUAUCU